ACAUUAAAGAUCCACUUGGCUUACUAAUGCAAGGGGGGCCCAUGACACAGUUUGGUGGGUAGACUGUGUGAACGUAACUUCAUGUGUGCUGUUUUUUUUUUUCUCAUAGCAUAAAUGUAAAAGGCUUGCGUUUCUGAGUGAUUGAUUAGAUGAGUGAGUAAUGUGUGUGUGAGUGUGUGUUUACCAGUUAACACAGCAGGGAGUGGACAGAAGGGCCAAGUGUGACAGGUGGACAGGCGUGAUAAGGAGAGAGCGGUGCAGACCAGCGCUCAGCAGAAGCAGAGCCCAGGAGAAUAUCCAGCCAAAAGCAGCUAAUAGCUGAUACUCAUCAGAGAUAGAGCCGCUGAAGAUUUCUUGUCUCUGUGGAAUAGUCGUUCAUUUCGCUUCAGCCCAAAUUCUCCUCCCUAAAAAUGUACUGUAUUUCGUACAGUCGUGAAAAGAUGUUGUUAAUCAAGUUUAAUACAAAAGGACAAUCAAUGCUGGGACUGAAGGAAUAUGCCAUGAUUUUACAGAUUUCACAUCAGUGUAUCCUAGAGUUUCAGAAGAGAUCUCAGCAAUGUUGUAACUGCAACAUGGCAAGAGGAAGUUCACAGUCUUCAAGGCACCAAAUUACACCAUUGAUCCGAACCCAAAAUGGCUCCAUGUCUGGCAUUUUCAGAGGCCUUUUCCAAGUCAAUGUCAUCCUAUUGGCCUCAAACUAAAAGAGACAAAUAGGACUGGAAUAAGGUAAAGAUGGAGUGGUUGCCUUGCUGUUGUGCUGGUAUCAGACAUGGGCUCUUCAUCAGAUGACUAAUGGAGUUGUGCAGCUAACCAGGAGGCCCAAGGCUGUUUCCUUGCUGUUGUGCUGGUAUCAGACAUGGGCUCUUCAUCAGAUGACUAAUGGAGUUGUGCAGCUAACCAGGAGGCCCAAGGCUGUUUGUUAGCUCCUAACAAGGUGAACCAGCUCCUACGGAACAGCACACUAGCGCUGAAGGAUUUAUUAUAGAUCUGCGUGUCCGCAGGCCAUGAGCGGCAGUGCUGGUCUCAUUGUAGUGGGCUCACCACACUAGCAGAGGGUUUAGAUCAUUAUUGCCUCAUUGUUUUGAUACAAUUUUGGAGAGCGGAUGAUGGAUGGAUGGAUAAUCGGAUGAGUAAAGGAGUUUUGGUAGCCUAGCACAGGAGGGUAAUGGAUGGACUGCAAAAACACAUGGACAAGAUGAGGAAAAGUGAGUUUUGAACAUUUAAAGAAGGAAUUUGGAAAUAGUUUUCAGUUUUUUUUUUAAAUGUUUAAUUUUCACAUUUA
rnacentral:lncRNA from 1 species